GUCUAUAUAGAUUCUUAAUAUAAAGUCUAACCUGCCCACUGAAUUAUUAAAGGGCUGCGGUAAUUUGACCGUGCAAAGGUAGCAUAAUCAGUAGUCUUUUAAUUGAAGGCUUGAAUGAACGGUUGGAUGAGAGAGAAGCUGUCUCCUCCAUAAAAUGGAAUUUGACUUUUAAGUGAAAAGGCUUAAAUUAGCUAAAGGGACGAUAAGACCCUAUAAAACUUAAUAUAACUUAUACUCUAUUUUUAAAUUAUAAAUAAUCAUGAUAAAGUUUAGUUUAUAUUUUGUUGGGGAGAUAUUGAUAUAAAUUGUAACUGUCUAAUUUAAAAAAAAUAAUAAUCAUUAUAAUCUGAUCCUUCAUUGAGGAUAAAAAGAAUAAGUUACUUUAGGGAUAACAGCGUAAUUUUUUCUGAGAGUUCUUAUCGAAGAAAGUAGUUGCGACCUCGAUGUUGAAUUAAAAUUUCAGCUAGGUGUAGCCGCUUAGCU
rnacentral:rRNA from 1 species